GCGCCUUCUCAUCUAAAGCUGGAUGAUCCGGUGUUUUGUGAGGCUGCUAAGCAAGAUGGCUUCGAUAUUCGACUAAUCUGUCAACCACCUAAUUCUCCGGAUUUCAACAUUCUAGACUUGGGUUUUUUCCGAGCAAUUCAAACUAUUCAAUACAAGAAAAAUGCUAAAACAUUAGAAGCCCUAGUUCCAACAGUGCAAGAGGCAUUCAUGGAGUAUUGUCCGUACAAAGCAAAUAGAAUUUUUGUAACUCUUCAGACUGUUUUGAAGGAAUCCAUCAAGGUUAAAGGAAACAACAAUUACAAAAUUCCUCACAUGCAAAAACAAAGACUUGAGAGAGAAGAACGGCUGCCAUUGCAAAUCACUUGCGAAGCAUCCUUGCUAGAUGAAGCUCUCGCUAGUCUUGCUGCAUCAAACUAGACAAAAUACUUUAGUAGGAGCAAUUGCAAACUAGAAGGUGCAUCUUUGUUUGAAUGAAUGGGACAUGUAAUCUUACUGUUUGUUCUUUGCAUCUUCCAUUUGCUUGUCCAACUUAAUCAAAACAUGGUCAGGCACAAGUAUAGUGUCACCAUCCAUUUGCAGCUCGUUGACAUCAGGAAUAAAAACCUCACAAUCGAA